rnacentral:lncRNA from 1 species
UAUUAUCUUAUGCAACCUACCACUACAUAUGCAUGCAUCAAUAGUAAACAUUACUCUUAGACAUAGAGGCGUCCUAGUCGCUUCGGUAAACACAACCCACUUCGAUUCACUCUCCGAUUGCUUGUAGUCACUUGCAAUCGGCCUCCCGCGGCACCCGUAUUCGGCACAGCCAAAUCCUGCAGUUGCGCACCAACCGUGCGCCAAAUCGCGGCUCCGAAAAUUAUA